rnacentral:rRNA from 1 species
AUUGAACGCUGGCGGCAUGCCUUACACAUGCAAGUCGAACGGCAGCACGGGUGCUUGCACCUGGUGGCGAGUGGCGAACGGGUGAGUAAUACAUCGGAACAUGUCCUGUAGUGGGGGAUAGCCCUGCGAAAGCCGGAUUAAUACCGCAAACGAUCCACGGCUGAAAGCGGGGGCCCUUCGGGCUUCGCGCUUUCGGGUUGGCCGAUGGCUGAUUAGCUAGUUGGUGGGGUAAAGGCCCACCAAGGCGACGAUCAGUAGCUGGUCUGAGAGGACGACCAGCCACACUGGGACUGAGACACGGCCCAGACUCCUACGGGAGGCAGCAGUGGGGAAUUUUGGACAAUGGGCGAAAGCCUGAUCCAGCAAUGCCGCGUGUGUGAAGAAGGCCUUCGGGUUGUAAAGCACUUUUGUCCGGAAAGAAAACCUUGGCUCUAAUACAGUCGGGGGAUGACGGUACCGGAAGAAUAAGCACCGGCUAACUACGUG